rnacentral:rRNA from 1 species
AGUGAACGCUGGCGGUAGGCCUAACACAUGCAAGUCGAACGGCAGCACAGGAGAGCUUGCUCUCUGGGUGGCGAGUGGCGGACGGGUGAGGAAUACAUCUGAAUCUACUCUGUCGUGGGGGGUAACGUAGGGAAGCUUACGCUAAUACCGCAUACGACCUACGGUUGAAAGCAGGGGAUCUUCGGACCUUUCGCGAUUGAAUGAGCCGAGGUCGGAUUAGCUAGUUGGCGGGGUAAAGGCCCACGAAGGCGACGAUCCGUAGCUGGUCUGAGAGGAUGAUCAGCCACACUGGAACUGAGACAGGGUACAGACUCCUACGGGAGGCAGCAGUGGGGAAUAUUGGACAAUGGGCGCAAGCCUGAUCCAGCCAUACCGCGUGGGUGAAGAAGGCCUUCGGGUUGUAAAGCCCUUUUGUUGGGAAAGAAAUCCAGCUGGCUAAUACCCGGUUGGGAUGACGGUACCCAAAGAAUAAGCACCGGCUAACUUCGUGCCAGCCGCCGCCGUAA